GUCGUCUCUGAUAUCGAUCACUAUAUCACCACUCCGACGAGGGUCCUGAUGUGGAGCCGAGGCCGUGAAUUGGUCGAGCGGAACAGGUGCCGCGGCUGUGGUGAUGCUCGACCUGCAGAGCGGGCAAUUGGCGUUGGUUUGGAGCCAGGUAUCUAUGCAGUCUAUAUGGAAGACAUGGAAGCAGUUCGGCAGCAGCCUAAUCCUCUCCUCUUCUUGGAACUCGUUCAGGCACACAGCGCACUCGUGGAAGGACGUCUUCCCCGCGCCAUCGCCCCCUCUGCGGUAUCGAAGCGUGGGGAUUGCCCGGAUUUCCGACUCACCGAGGCCGUGGCUCUCGGUGACGGUCGAGUAGGCCAUCAGUCGGUCGUCGAUACGGCGCCGUGAACGCGAGAGGCGGCCCACGACAUCGGACCGGCGCCAGUUGAGGCAACAUCUGACCGCAAAGACGUAGUAGCUGAGGAGGAGGAUGGACGUGGUGAGGAUGCCAAGGAUGGAUAUAGCUAGGAUGGGGAAGCUGGCGUCCGAGGAGGGAGGAGACGGAGGAGGGGGUUGGUGACCGAGUGGGG
rnacentral:lncRNA from 1 species